ACUUCCCCUAGAGGCAUUGUUGGCCUGGCUAAUGUGUCACAUGUGUGUAAAUAAGGGGCCAAUAGGAGAAGGGUUAUGUCUAUGCUCAGUGUUCUGAUCUAUGAACAUCUGAAUGAUUAGUAUACUAAUAUU